CAGGAAGGAGCGGAGGAUCAUGGGUAGUCAUUAGUGAGCUGGAGGUGAUGCUUUUUAUUGUUUAUUGCUAAUUCAUCUACUUUUUGUGGAAGCUGUAUCCUGAUGCGAUCCUGUGGGGAGGAAUUUAAGUGGAACUCCCCUGAACAGUUUGAAGGUAGAGGAACCUCGUUAUUUUCGGCAUUACUGACUGAAAUAUAAAGUUAUUGCAUCGCCUACAUUUAAUUUUAUCCCAAAAUACUGUUUUGAAAAAUACCCAAACAAGGCGUACCUCAAAAAAACGUUUGUUCUCGCUUCAAAAACUUCCAAUAAGCCUCUGAUAUCUGAUAGUGCAUGUUUGCUUCGUCACCCAGUGUUUUAUAUUUCAGGGAACACUUUAGACCCAUCAAUCAAGUGUCUGCUUUGUUCUCUGCAGUAAUGUACUCACUCACACUCCCCAGACAAUGAUCUGAAAGUUAGAAAAUGUUGAGAUAGGCUGUUCCAGUAUUUCAGAUCUCUACAAUUCUUCAAAAGAAGAGCAUACACACUUCUUUGGCUGAGUGUGUUGCAUUGAUUUCUGCUCCCUGAGAUGGUUUUUAGCUUCAUGUUAGAGUCUGGCACCUUCGCUCUCCAGAAGCCCAAGAGUGUGGUGAUUAGGAGCUGCUCUUCUUCUUCUUCUUCUUUGACUGAACUAUUGUUAAAGCCCCCUUUGUGUUGGAGUCUGCCUUCAUGAGGAGUUCACUGGCUGGCCAGCCCUCAGGGGUCACAUGCACCUUGCUGGCUGCUGAGGGGAUUGCUUCGGGGCAGAGGGAUUGGGGAGAGAUCAGAGACAAAGUGAGAGAUGCUGGUGGGCUCUCGCAGCUCUGUAGUAAGCAAAAUUAGCUUCAUGGUGACCUCUUUUUUUUUUUUUAAGCUCCUUUUAAUGUGAGGGGCCCUCAAAGGUAGCUUUGAUAAGUAGAAACACAGAUUUUUAUCAUAACUGUUCUCUUUUAAAAUUAUUAUCAUAAUUAGUAGAAGUGGUAGUAGGAGAAGUCGAAGUAGAGUGGGUGGUGUUGAGUUGACUUUCUCCACAGGUCAAAAUCUAUCAUUCCAACAGCAAACAAUCACGAGUAGAUACAAGUCAAGAGCAUCGCAGACUGUGAAGAGAAACUCAUCGUUUCAGGAACUGUGAUGAAGCUUGUGUUGAGCUACUUUAAAAGACUAAAAAAAUUAAGGUCAACGAACCCCAAACAAAUUCACCAUCUCAGAGCCAUGUGUCAUUAGUUCUUCUGACAGCCAGAGCCAAAACUUCACCAAGAAAACACACCAACCACACUGAGGUAGUUACUUUUCUAGGUGUAAUUUAUUCUAGUUAACGGACUCUUAUUUUCUCCAGCUUGAGAUCAUUUGAAUCAUUUUGUUUAAUCAGAAGUAAAUGUUUAAAAGAACAGUUUUUUAGUUGGAGUCCUAUUUGUUAUUGUGCCCGUUCUCUCUAAGGUUACAAAUGGUUACUGAGAUUGUUUUUUUUUACCACAGUGAAGUGAUGUAUCACAGUCAUUCAGGGUUCAUGUACUCGGGUUGUGGCAGAAAUUGAACACGUUAGAGGCAGCAGACUUAGUCCUCAUGUGCUUGCUUGACCCACACCUCGGGGUAUACUUAACUAAAGGUACAGAGUGUCAAAAUGGGAAAAUUUAGUGACGCCUGAUCCCAGACGAAAAAGCUCUGCUCGCUCAACACUUCAGCUGCUCAGACAACUAUGGCUCUCAAGGACAAGACGCUCCUGUGACGCAUGAUAAGUAUGAACCUGAGUUUGUCAGGCUUUUACUACAAAAGGAUGUCGAUUGAAACAAAGUGGUUUGCGCACGACAACAACUCUUUUGUUCUUCUUUGUCUUCCAAGCAGUACCUUUCAUACCUUCUCAACCCUCUAGGCCUGGGUAUUGAAUUUUCUGACUGACUGUUCUCUCUCUCUUUUUUUUUUUUACCAUCUCUUAUUACCCAUUCGUCUUUUGUGUAUCCAUGCCCACUCUUAUUUCUUUCCCUGCCUCAAGCUUGCACUGUCCCACCCUUAACUCUGCACUGUCACUGCCUCAGCCUUCCUCUCUUUCUGCACUGGAUUAGAAUUUGGUACAAUUUGUCUGAAAGGCUUUUUUUCCUUUUGUCUUAUUUUAUUAUUUUAUUGUGGUUGUUCAAAAGCAGAACUUUUCCUAGAGUGUGAAGAAAGAUUGUAGGUCAAGCCAAUUCUGCGUUCAUUCUUGAUAGUUCAAAAGUACCGCUCAGACCACAGUGGGAGGAAAGAUGUUAUUUCCUGCCUGACACAGUCGCUGUCCUGAAUUGGACCUCAAAAUCUUCUUAUUUGGUACACUUGCACGCAGAGUUAAGUCGAGCUACAGUUAUAGCUAAAUUAGGCAUCAAACCUGGUUUUGUGAACAAGCACCGUGUAAGAAUUGAAUUAUUGACAGGAGCAUGUCCACCUCCGCCACAGCAGAUGGCAACAUUGUCCCCUUUCAGCUCAUUUCUAUCAGGUUUUCUACAGAGGUCAUCUUACGAUUGACCUUUUACAUAUCAAAACAGUUAGCAAAAUGCAUUAGCAAGGGGCCAACAGGAUGUCCUUCAAACAGUGAGAACACCAACUAUAGGAUGGGAAAAUUUCAUCCUUUACGACUUCUUACUCUUUAAUUUCUCCAUUAAUUCUUUGUUGUUCCAGAGAAACUGUAGACUGUAACCAAAGACUGAAUUGUCUUAAACUAUUUACAUAAAUCUUACUUUAACACUUUUUAUUAUAACUGAUAUGUAAAUGUCGAGGAAUUUCAACUCUUUUCGCCCAGCUUUGUCAUACUCAAACUACUUUAUGAAAUAUUAAUGCACUGUAAGUUAGCCCUUUAAAUAGUGACUGACUCUGCAAUCAUGCAACUGCAACUGUCCAGUAAUGUAAACACUAUUGAGCUGUGUGCCUCGAUUAUGGUCUGAAUCAUAAAUUUUGGAUUUUUGCGUUGGAUCAGCAUCCCGCUGUAUACGAGUCUGUAGAGCAAAGCGCUGUACAAUGAAAAGUGAUGCAAUGAAGCACAUCUUAAAUGAGUGAAACUCUAUCAUCAAGGUCGAAACCGUUUUGUUUUGUUUUCUGCCGAGGUUGAUUAGGUAAGGCUAAUUUUUCCUUGCAAAACUGCCAUGGCAACAAAUCAACAAGCGAGACCAUAAACAAGACUAACACACAGGAGGGUAAUAUUUCAUACUUAGUAUUUUUUUGACUAUGACGAACAGCAGGGUACAUUUAUUAUUAUAUAUUACCCUGGUAUACAUUCUGCAAGGUCUUUCAUCCCCUUGGGCAUCGGUAUAACUUCUUCCCUUUAUCGCUCCUCCUUUAACAACAAUGUAAAGAAAUGGUCUUUUUUUAUCAUAAUUCCCAUAUUUGAUUCUGCGCGUCUCAAAAGAACACACUGUUUCUUAUCCUUCAUCACAACUGACAGACAAAGUAAAAAUGCAUCGCACUGAAGCAAUCCACUCUUGACUGGCUAUGGCUCCCAUGAGGGAACACACUCCCCACAACAAUGAGCUACUUAGACUGCCAGAGGACACGAUGCCUGCGCAAAGAAGAGAGAUAAAAGACGAGUUAGGUAUGGGAAGGAUAGAGGGGGGAGGAUAGAGGGGCGGAGGGGAGGUGGGAGAUGGAUUUAUCAAACAGAUGUGAGACAUAUUGCGUACCGGGAUAAAUAAAGAUAUUGUCAACGGCAUCCAAAUGCUAAAUCAAAGUGCACACAGUGGGAAUUACAUUGUAAUUAAAGAGAUGAGCAGUGGUGCGCGAACAUUUACGAUGACGCUCAAAUGGAUCACCAGUGGAGUUGAAGUGCAGACAGGUAGAUUGUUCAGAUGUGAUGACUCACUGAGUGGUCAGACAUAUGAGGAAAACAUAGAAGUGGUAAGAGCUGAUGCUUAAAUUGACAGUAAAGAGCAUGAAAAAUAAUUUCCGAUUACUCCGUUUAUUCAUUGAUAAAUACUUCCUGCAUGUUUUAUUUAAAGUAAAAGAACUUAUCAUGUAGAUAAGAGCUGAUCAUUAUCUGUAAAAGGUCUAUUUUCUAUCUGGGCGGUCUGGCAGCUUUGAUUAUGCCUUAAACAUCAGAAAUGGUAAAGUAAUAACUUUUUAAAGUUUUAGAAACUUUCUUAACUUCCAUUUUUCUUUGACGGCGCCCUAAGUUUUUGCUGUACUGAAUUAAAGGAGGAAAUAUUGCACCCUUAAUUACAAUACAAUAAGAGACAAUAGAAUAUAUGAUAUAACAUGGCACAACACUUUGCCAUAAGAUUUUUGGGAUCCUUGAAAUGGCCUGUGAAUGAUACAGAUAUUUUUCACCUGGGUUGGGCUAACUGGGGUUCCAACUUAUUCAUGGGUGGCAGGAGUGUGAGCACCCACAUAUGUUUAGUUUGCAUUUAUUCACUAAUUUUGUUCCUGAAAAUUAUUUCUACUUUAAUUUUGAACAUUGAGGAAAUAUGUUUAAAGACCCUCUCUGAUAAAAAUCGUGUUUUUCUUGUUUUUUAUAUGUUCAUAUGGCAUUUUUCUGAUGCUACAGGACAUAUCAUGAGAAAACCAAAAUUGCUUUUCUGAGUAUUUCUUCAUUCAAAUCGACGUGAAUCUCUGGCAGACCCAAACGGCAGGUUCAGAUACACUGAGAUUUCAUACGUAACCAAUCCAAGCGCCGCCCCCAGAGCCCUGCUAUGUAGGCCACACUCUGCAUAUAGAGGAGAAAAACAGAGGAACGAUCGCGGAACAAGCAUGUGUGUUAGCAGAUUGCGAUGUUUGUAAGCUAAUUAUGAUAUCUUUCAUCAUGUCUCCAAAGACAUUAGUGUCCAAGAACUAAAUUGGUCCUAUCUCACCUGCCACUUCUACCACACCGGCAAUGUUAGGCUACAAGAUAGCGAAGUGAAGAGGAGUGUGCAGAGCAGCGCUGUCUCCGCCCAUGACUCAGUGGCAAAUUGCUAAUGAUCUACUGGAGCUCUGCAGAAGAAAAGCCCUUGAAAAUGACACAGGUAACGUGAUUUUUGGUAAAAACUUCAUAAUCACAAUCUAAAGACCACUGAGAACCAAGUUGUAAAAAAAAAAAAAAAAAACGAUGGGAGUGGAACUUUAAGUUGAAAAAUAACAACUUCCAACCUCUGGCAGCUGAUCACGGUUAGUGGACAAGGACAAGAAUGUUUGAUACUUUAAAGUAUAUUUUCCUGAUACACUUCUCUAACCUUACCUUAAUGGGACUGACAUUAACUUGACUAAAGUGAGUUUUAAUUGUCGCAUCUGUGUAUUCAGUUUAGUUACGGUCAUGAUUAUUUCUUUCAAAGUUAAAAUUAAAAGCAUUUCAUGAAAAUCCCCAAAGCAAAAUCUUUAGUCAUUUCAAGCUGACCAUAAUGAGAUCAGUGGUAUGGAAAUAUUGCAACGAACCAGUGAACUUUAAGUACAGAGAAGAUGCAAAGUCAAACAUUUUUCAGAGAGACAUCAAACUUUAUCAUUAAAUAUGACUCUCCACUGAGCCACACAGGGAGACUCUCUCUGCCUGUCUGAACUCAAGAUCUAUAGUGACCUUGCAAAGGACUAAGCAAGCAGAGAGAAUGAAUACAUUCACACAGUUACACUUCAUGUGAGAGGUUGAAUCAGCAUUUUGUCAGAUUAUAUUGAUGUAAAUGUUUCAUCCUCUCUUUAUCAUCUUUAUCCCCUCCUGACCUCAUAAUACAUCCUCACCACACACAACAAUGGCUGCUAUCUCCUCAGGCUGUCAUGUGACUGAGAAUAUUUCACCGUGUCUAUUGAAGAACUUCAAUUACACUGACAUUUCAAUGACCUUGACAGAGUGAGGUAAAAAUCAAUAGGUGCCCCCGUUUUUAUUUUUUUUCCCCAGUCAAUACAGGUCACUCUUCUCUCCUCUCCCAAGGCUCUAAUUCUUUGUUUGAUAACGGAUUACUGAGCUUUAUCAUCGUGCCGACGAAAUAAAAGACACCCAUAAAGUGGAGGUACAGAUUUAUUUAUCUCUUCCUGGAUAAUUUGGUCUAUACAUCAACCCUUUUGGGCGCCACACACAGGUGCAUGUAACAGACAUGUUGAGGAGUAGUAGGUAUUGUCAAAUGUGCAGUAAAGGGACAUCUAUUGUGUGUUAGUCUUGGCAGCCUCCAUGUGGAUGAAGCAGUAUAUCAACAAAUAAAAAUGCAAACAAAGGCCGCACAGUUUCAGCGUUAAAAAUCCCUAUAAAGAAAUGAUCAAUACUCUGGCUGAUGGUCUUAUUUGCGGUUGCGGGGCCAUAAAGGUGCAUCAGUAUAGAACUCCUCAUAGGAGCUCUGAGGUUUUAUAGUCAUUCUCAUUUAAUGCAGAUGCCAGCUUUAAUUUGAAUUUACUGGAAAAUUAUAAACAAGGGAUUUUUAAUUUGAAGGGGUCAAUGUGUUAUGGUGUGCAGCACAAAUGUCUUUAUUUUCCACCUCUCUAUCAAGCUCUCCAUCAUGCACACUCAAAUAUACACAGAAACAUGCACACACACAGACAUGCUCACACACAACUACGCAGUAUUUUUUUUCAGUGCUCAUAACUGCUAACUUUAAAUUAGGGUGACCAUAUUCUGAAUACCCCAAAAGAGGACACAACUACGCAGGGGCGGAGUCACAGAGUCGGGCAUAGUUAAUUUUGAGAGUUUUUCGGGUCGGGUUGAGUGUUUUUACGCGCUUCUAUUUUAGUAUAUCCAUGCGGCACAAACUCAAAAACCUCCAUACAAAACCCUGGAGAUUUGAAGGAUAUACUCCCUCAGACAAGGCCGGACAGCCCCCAAAAAAGAGGACAUGUCCAGGUAAAAGAGGACGUAUGGUCACCCUUUUUAAAUGCUACCAGCCAAACCCUCAGAUACUGUAUUGCUUGAGACCAAACCGAAGCCGUUUGACUCAGCAGUGAAAACAAGUCAAUAAAGAUUAAAAGCUACUCCUCUAUGAUGUGAACUACACCGUAUGUCAUCUGAUAUUAGAUCCUGUCCAGAACUGUUACUUCUGUUUCUGCUGUUCAGAGGAAUUGUCUCAGGAGAUUAACAUCAGUCCAUACAUGUAUAACUUAAACAGAGGCCUUUGUGUGCUUUCUGCAUCAUUAGAGGCACAGUAGGAGAAAGCCAUUAGGGUUAGGUUUUUGCCUGGUGUACUGAAGUAGAAAGGCUGCGUCUGUUUCUCAAAGGGAGGACACACUGAUUGGUUUGAAUAAAGUUACACCCAAAAUACACCAAUAAGUAAUGAGAAACUUAAUCCAACCUUUCUGUGCUGUUCGCCUCAUUUAGAGCCCAGAUUUUGUCCUGAUUAAAAACCAAGAAUUGAUUGGAUAUGCCUCAGUUUGAUUGUACCAUGUGAAUUACACCAGUUAGAUAGGGAAAUCAGUAUAAACAAGGAAAGGAAAAGACCCAACAAAGCAGGCGAAAACAGGCAAAAAGACCCUUGGUGAUUGUCAAAAACAUGGACACGGUCUCAAUGACGUCAUUUGUUGAUUUCCAAAGUGGCAUUGCCAAGCUCAACAAUGGCAGUCAUCAUAUUUGCUGACUCCAGCUAACUUCUGACUAACCCAGAGAAUAGGAAAAAAAAUAGUUGAAUCUUUCUCCUCCUUGCAAACAGCUAGCAAAAAAGAUGAUUACGUUGUGCAAAUCUUAAACCCCGUUGUUAAAAUGUGCAUUUUCAUUAUGAGAUUUACUUAGUUUAUGCAGCCGACCUUAAAUGGACAAUUGAGAAACUGCAUAUUUUUGCACAUUCACACUGGCCUAAUUUUUUAACACCGAUUGCUGCUGCUUUUGAAAAACACACUGACUGUCACAGGGGAUGUCCAGAGGGUGAGAAGGAGUUGGAAAGACUUAGAAAAUGAACUGGAACACCAAAUACACAUGGGGUAAUUGGACAAAAGUAGGACUAACAAGGAAGAAUCAGAAAGGUGGGAAAAGACACUAAAGCAUCGACAUACAUGAGAAAUGAGAAGUGAGAAUCACAAACCAAAACAUGAUUAAAACACAAUUCUUAUUCACUAUUGACCACAAAGCUGCUCAAGGGUAUGAAGGAUGCCUGGUUAUAUAGCAGCAGUUUCACCAUAUCAUUUGAGGCACGACCACUUGUUUUCAAAGUAUUCCUCACAGUGGAGUGUGAAGUUUUAGGCUAAACUGGUCCAACUGAGUUCAAAUUCGGCCAAGAGACUCCAGCGCCAUGGAAACAGGCCCCAGUACAGAGCACCCACCAUCUUCAUCAUCACAACAGCAGCAACAAUCCAGAAGCAACUGUCUGCCAAACUAAACCGCUUUCAUUAAAAAGCAGUGCAAAAUAUGAAGCUUGGCCCCAUUCAGCAGGACGGGUUCCUUCUCUGGCGAACAUGUGCCAAUAUUAGGAGAUUUGCAUAUUCAGACUCAUUAUCGAAGUCAUUACAGAGUCCCCAAGACAAACUAACAACACUGUGACAAAGACUUGCAGCUGCCAGGACUCUGUCCAGUGUUGUUGAUGGCCUCACCUCCGAGGAGUUUUACAGUUUUACACUUAAUAUGCCCACUAACUGUCUGUUCGAGCCAGCAGAACAAAAUUGGUCAUUUAUAGAGAUGCCCAAAAUGAGCAGAGUGACCUAUUUUUCUGACAAAUGAACCCUGUGACCUCUUGUUAUUGUGCAAAAAUUGACAAUUUUCCCCAAGUAGCUUUGGAAAAAGUACCUGUAAAAGGUGUCAAGGUUGGAAAAAAGGUUUCUUGUUGGUUAGUUUAAGAGUAAAACUUCUACACACUGUGUCCUAUCUUACACCACGAGUUGUUGCAGUUUUUCUUACAGACUCAUGGUCAUUUAUUUUUCAUUUUGCAACACAAAAUGCCUGUAACCUUUACCAUCAUGUUUCACUAGAUUUAUCUUCCUAUUGAGACUCUUUUUUUGCAGAAAUCACAAAAUAUUAUCUUCAGACUCACUGCUAGAAGAGAAUUUUAGUCUUUUAUAACACGGUUCAGUCUGACACAAUCUUGACAGCAGAAGAGCUUUGACAGUCGCAUUGUUGGCUGUUGGAUCAGCAUCAAACAGACACACUUCAUGAGCCACAAGCUGGUAAAACAGUUUUAAAAAUUUGGACAUUUUGAUAUCAGUUUGUAGAGACUGAAACAGCUAAGAGAGAGCAUCAAUGUCAUUUUGAGUAAACCAAAGUGAAACUAUACUUGUAUUGUUUGCAUAAAUGACAGGUUUGUGAGCAGAUGUCCAUAAUGCUGAAACUUUUGAUGUGAUGGUUGUUUUGAGCUAGGUUUAACAUUUAAAGACUUAAGUUUGAGACUUAGACUCUGAUUAUAUUCAAUUCUCACUCUAACGUAACUGGAGACUUUAAGCUUUUAAAUUUGCACUAUUUGUCAUUUUAACAAGCCGCUAAGAGCUUUCCUGAACUUCAGUGGAAGAUAUUUUUUAUUAAAUUACAUUUUAUGAAUCUAUGUAAAUAUCAGCCGAGAAGUUUUGCCUCCCUGUUAUUAAAGGUUAAAAAAAAUGUACACCGGUAUAUAACAUCUGAAAGAUGCUUUAAUGGAAAUUACACAAAAGUGAUCGCAGAGGCUGGGGGAUAAAUUAGUGCUGUUCAUUUAUGUGAGUACAAACAUACUUCAGACCCACAUUACAAAAGUCAGUGCGCCAUUUUGGCCACUCCAGACAAAAGAAAAAUCUAUUUUAAUCUCAAUGCAAAGGUGGGUAUAGACAUAAUAUGAUGGUGUCAAAUAAAUGGGGUUGCAUAUUUUCAACCAUCAGGAACCACGCUUUUAUGACUGUACCAUCAUCAUUUUUUUAUUAAAACUGUGAGCGGCUUGGAUAGGACUUGGCAUGACCUUCAAAAACUUAAAAUUUGACUGUACUGGACCGGAAAAAUGUCUUUCUCCCAACUCUACAGUGUCUAUUUGCGUAGAAAUGGGCAAAUUGUUCAUUUGGGUUAAAUUCCAUCUUUCACUCUAUAAAACUGUGUCAAAAGUUAGCGGAUGAAAGCAAACUUGUACAAGAAAUGAUAACUUCAUUUAUUAAAGCUAUGUGGUCUGAAAGAGAGAAAGUUUAAAAUGCAUGUCUCUUUUUCAGAAAAAGCUGCCAGGAGUAGGUGUGAGAAAAAGUGAUCAACUCUGCACUACCAAAACAGUGUUAUCUUUAUAGCAUGAAAUUCUGGAUGAGAGAUUCAUGUAAUAGUUGAAAUAAGCAGGAUGAGAAUUUAAAUUGACCAGCAAAAGAGUUAAGUAACACCACUUCACUGCUUUGUCCACAGGGGGCGCCAAAAUCAACACACUCUAAAACUUCCUCACAGGAACAACAAGUAAUAUUUCAGUUAUAGUCUUAUCCAACUUGCGUAUAUUUAUCACAUACAAAACAUAAUAAUACAUUGUUAGUUCAUGAAAGGUGAAAAUGUAUUAAUAGUCAGGCUCAUUAUUGCUGUAAUUAUCAUAUCACAGUUGUCAUCUACCCUGGUGUAGGUAGAAUGCUUCAUUCUCAGUUAAUUAGCACACAUUAUUUUGGAUACCUGACACCAGGGAAUACAGGUCAUACUCUAACUUUUUGUCUAUGAAGUUUACCAUUUGAAUCUCCUCUCUCGCUGCUCUAAUUCAACAAAGAUGUAAAGUACUUUGGGUUGUUUGUUUCCUUGUUAGUUAUGUUUGUAUAUUUUUGUAAGCCAUUACAGUAGUUCACACACAAAAGAUUCUGCUUAGUCUAAAUUUCAUGGGACACUGCUGUUGACUUCCUGUUUAGUAUUCAUCCAUCUGAGGCUCCUUUCAUUUGAAUACUAGGUGCCAAGUGCAGUUCCCCUGUUCAUGAAUAACUCAUCUUUUACCCAGGGGUUUUUGUCUAAUCUUAGACAUUUAAAGGGAAUGCAGAGAUACAAAUGGAAUAUGUGGGUUUAGUUUAAUUUAUAUGAGCAGACUUGUUCGUUCUUCUUAACAGUUUCAAGGCCAAAUUAAUAUUACAGACUUAAAUGGGAACCUUCCUCCUUUAAUGCAGAACUGAAACAAGACCGCCUAAACCUUUUCUUUACAUAAGCAGGGGUGGACUUCAUUAUAAAGUCAAGUAGGCAACUGCCGGGGGGUCUUGAUUUAGGAUAUUAAUUAAAUGUUGGAUAAAACAUAUUCUUGUUUUCAUUAUCUGCUUGGAUUAUUUUCUCUACUUUUCUUUUCCUCUCUGACUGUACAACAUCCGAACAUUUGACUGAGUUUAAAGUUCACCUGAAUCAAACCAAGAAUCUCAGACAGUGCUUCAAUAGGUUAUUCCAGUAAAGCCACUUGGAAAAAUGUUCCCUCACAAAAUUUGUGAAAUCCUUUUACCACCCGAGAUACAGCCAAAUACUUUGAUAUAUGCGACUAUCCCUUAAGUGUUGGUCAGCCAAGGGGAUACCCAAAAAACUGCAGCUUUGCAAGUGUCCACACUUAAAGCUGCCUCCACAAACCAAGGAAUCCCCAUUAGGAUUAGUAUCAAAUGUCCAUUUUUAAACCAGAAUUAAACAUGUUUACAGCCUCGAUCAAUAAAUGGUUUCAGUCUUAAGAACUAGUAAAUAUGCUUAAAACUCACCAUUUGGAAUAUAUCACAGCAAAAUCAUGCAUAUCAAUCAUAAUGCUAGAUGAGGCUGAUUUGUCUGAAAGGUGAAUAUUGUAGCUGUUGACCAGGUGCUAGAGGCCCACCUAAACUCCACCUCUUUCCCUGUUUUACAUCAAGCCAAGAUGGAAACAUCAUUUCAAAUAUGGCCUCCUCUACCUUUGGGAAUCAUAAUAACUCUUCAGAGACCAAUGCAGAAUGCUUUUGACACUUUCUGUAGUUACCAUGAGUGAAGCUGCGCAAACAAUGCAGAACCAUUCAAUAUGAAAUAUGGCCUUAAUAUUAUCACAUUUUCACCCCAUGGUAAUGGUGGAAAAAAACAAACAAAAUUCAGCAGCAUAUCUGAGGUAAACUUGGAAAAAGGAGCACAAUCAGUUAAAUUAAGUGAAGCGACGCGAUACUUCACAAAGUUCACCAAUGAGCACAACUCACCAACUUCUGUGUUUUGUGUCACUAUCCUCAUGACAGAAACUCCUUCAUAGAGUUUCCAUCCAUCAUUCCUUCUCUCACACAUACAAACACAUCUACAGGCAAUUCAGAGGGACCAAUUAACCUGCCAAGUAUGUGAGAGAGAUCGCCCCGUACAAUGAUUGACUGUGAUGCUUUUAUUUUGACAUCUUUACUGUCUUGUUUAGGGAAAUGUUCAGUGUAUCAGCACACAUGUAGAGACAUAAACUCUGGUUUUGGAGACAUAAUAAAUCUUUGAUCGUCUCUUUCAGGCGUGGCUGACAGUGUUUACACAGGCUGCUACUGCUUCUUUGUUUUCACUUCAUUUUAUGAUGGGUGGCAACCAUCGUAAAGAGCCACCACCAUCCACCACUGUGAACUAAUCGAUUACAUGAUAUUACAGGAUGCCUGUUUAUACUGCAGUAUCACUUUGCUUAGAGAUGCACUGAUCAAUUUUUUCCCAAUCCUAUCCGAUACCGAUACCUGGGCUGAGUGAUACCGAUCCAAUACUACUGUUAAAUGAAUGAACUGUAUACCUUACCCUGUGAGUGAAGGCAUCGGGCUUGACAUUAGCCUUGUUAAAAAAAAAGGUAACAAAUUAACACAGAUUGUUACGGCUGUGUGUUUGUUUUGCGUGUGUUUUUCCCCUUUUGUCUCUCCAUAGCUGCCCAGGUGAAAUCACUUGAGUGCCGAUCAGACUCAACUGGCGCUGAGAGUCUAAAAGCCCAGAGCUGCCUGCAGUCUGGAGAGGCAUUUGGUGGGGAACUGCUGCCCUGCUGCCUCUCAAUAGUGUUGUGGGUGCUUUGUGUUUAGUUCGAAAUUUUGUUAUUUUGUCACAUUAAAUCACGUGUUAAACUUUUGAAGGUGUCCAUGUAGAUUCUCAUUCAUCCAGGUCAUGGUUAUCUUGAAGACUUAAAAAAAAGGCAACUGGACUGUGUAGAGUUAAGAAGACGUUUCGCCUCUUAUCCAAGAAGCUUCUUCAGUUCUAAAAGUGCUAGUGUCAGGAGCAGAUAUUUAUCUUACUGGAGAAGGGGGACAGUAACGACUGGGAGGAGUUGAAAAGAAUGGGUCGUAGAAACCCAUCUCUCGGAGUGUCCCCCCUAAGUCGUUAUCCUGAAAGGGUCGUUAGCGACUCCUAUCAUGUGACCACAUGACUCAUGCCACCUGAGUCAUGUGGUUCCUGGUGUGAAUGUUUGUGGAGCUUUCUGGGGAGAGAGCUGAGAACUGCAUUGUAAGUGCCAGAGAGAUUGUGCCUGAGUCCACCCCCUCUGUUCAGAGAAGGUUUCUCCAGCCUGGUAAAGAUGGCUUCUUUAACUCCUCUUUUGAAGGUGUUUUGUUAAUUUAAUGGGUCAAAAGGUGAGGAUGGUUGUUAGUCCCAUAGGGCCGCCUUGGGGUGGGGCGUAACAAAUGGGGGCUCAUCCGUCAGUCAUAACACACCAAACGAUUUACUUAAUAUUAUUUAUUAACAAAAAUCAAAUUGCACAUCAGCACACAGCAAAAAGUAGUAAGACUUCAAUGUAUUAAAAGAAAAAAUAAUUAAGAGAAAAAAAAAGACUGGAUUGGAACGCUGGAUUGGCGUCAUUCAUCCCAUAUCCAAUCCAAAUAUAUGAUUGGUGCAUCCCUAAUUUUGCUUUGUUUAAAAAGGCAGUUAUCAUCAAUAAUGGUUAAUUGUGACAGCGCUAAUUGGAACAUCUCAUAAGACCUUUAAAAACACAUGUUGCAAAUUUUGAGGCAGUAGGAGUUUAGUCUGUAGAGAGUUGGGCUCUGAGGGUUGCCGACACAAGUCUCUGCACAGUCAAGUCUCUGGAAAUUGCACUGGUGAGACAACAUUGGUUACCGUGAGCAUCUGAGAGACAAAUGGCUGAAAAAAACAUUUGGUCAAAUUUUCAUUCUCAGUAGUUUAAAGUCUUGUUUCUGCUCAGCCGACAAUCCCAACCUUAUCCCGGUACAGACUUUCCUCAUCUUCUAAACUUCUGCAGCACAUUUAACCAAAUAAAGAGCAAAAGGGUGCAGAAACGACACAAUACAGCAGCUGAAAUAAAAAAAAACAGUACUUCUAAAACACUAAAGUAAAAUCUAGAAACGCUUAAAGCUAUAUAGGAGAAAUGUAUGCCAGUGAACAGAUAAUUAAACAUCAGCACAUGAAUCCUUUGCAGUAAUCUCUUAAAGACAAAAAUACUAAAUAAGAUAUGGCGAGAAAGAGGCAUGUGAGAGGCCCUGAGGUUCGCCUGAGGCUGUCAGGCUGAUCAGUUCAGCAUUGAUUUCGGACAGAUCUCAUACAGCACCAGAACUUUCUUUGAGAGGAACUCGUAAACUCGUUCAUGCUGUUAAAGUGGAAUAAAAUGUACUCAUAUGAGUUGGAAACCAUCCAAGAGUGAUUCAUCAUAAAGAGAGCAUUUAGUCACUAAAAGUGUAUUUAGACUCCGACUGUGAUGUACUGCAGCCCUGUUUGAAGGACUAUAAUGAAGCUUUUUCAAGAACAGUGCAUUCAAGGAUGCGUUAGUAGAAAUGUUUUACAUGAUAACAAGUCGAGAGAAGAAUCAGUGAGGACACAAUGAUAUUCAUCUGUCCUGAUAUUCACAUGGAUCUACAGCCUCCACUGUACUGAAGAUGAAACCCUCAAAGUCUCUCAAAAAGAGGUUUUGAAAUUAUCAAACUGUUUCAAAAUUAACAUAUCUCACUUUUCAGUUUCAACAUUUGAUAUAAUGGAUUUAUGCUAUUAUGGUUAAAUAAAGGCUCUAAAUGGUUUUCAAACAAAUUUUUAAAAAUAAAUAACACUUUCAAAAGACCUUUUUAUUUUUUGGUUUCCUUGGUUCUGUUCUGUCAUAAUGUGGCACAAAAUUUUACUUUUAGUCCAUUUUAACAACUCAUAAACUUCUUAUUUUAUCUAUUUAUUUAUUCAGGGUCAGUUUUGUUGCUCAUCUUCCUGCAUUUUAUUUUCCUCUUUAAGCAUUUUAUAUCUUAUUUUCUCAUUAUUACCCUUUUUUUUUUGCUCUUCAACAUUAAUUCUACCUCCAUCACUGCCUCAUCUGGCUCCUGUCCUUGUUUUGUGUUGUUUUCAAACUGCUCUUUAUUGAUUGGGGGAGGGUUUUUUCUUCCUGUGUUUGCUGUGAUCACUGUGACUUUGCACCCAAUUUAUCCGUCAAGUUUCACAGCUGUGGGAACUCCUGUUUUUACACAUUUCUACAGAGGAAAGGAGUGUUUUUUUGCAGGUCGGCUUCGGUUGAUUUGAUUUCUUGCUAAAAACCGAGGUCUGCCCAGAUGUUAGAAAAUCAACCUGUAACUUGUUGUUAGCUUGCAGCUUUUCUGGGAAGAUAGACAGUAACAGUGUAGAGUGUUUCUUUUUUUUCACUGUAAAAGAGCUCAGAUAAUCCAGUGCCAGCUUUAAGAUCCUGUUAGAUGCUUUAUCACAGGAAUUACCCGCCACCACACCUGAAAGAGAGCAGGCUUGUUCUUUGCCCCUGUUGACUGAGAGCUUACCUGCCGUCACCACAGUGGUCUCCUCUCUCUGUGCCCAUCUGUGCUCUCCCCGCUUUCUCUCUUAGGUUAGGCAGCAGAUAUCCAUGCAUCAGAGACUCCUCUGAGGCGCCUCAUGGCUUCGAGUCUUCCAAACGGGUGCAGCUGUCCUGGCAGGAUGCCGCAGAGUUAAGCUCUGAUCUGGCAACACAAGAGGCCCUCUCUCUCUCUUUCUGCUGUGGCUUCUUUAGGUUUCUGCUCACAUGACUCCACACACUGCCGCUCACUGUCCACAGGGAAACUCAGCCUGAAAGAUUCAGGAGAUGCCGGGUACUGAAUCAGUUUAGAGAGUGUCACGUAACCGUACCAGGAGAUAAGAAGGCACGUAUGUCACUUAACAUGUGAACUUCUUAUAAUAUCAUCUCCAUUAUAUAUGAAAGCCUAUUUUACAGAAUAAAAUCCAUAUUUAUUACAAGUAGAGGGACAGCUCUACAGUUGAAGAAUGAGGCCAGGCUAAUAGGAGGCAGAAAAGUGUGAGUACAUGUGCCAGGGGCAUCCCUUAUGUCGUUGUUUUUGUUAAUCUUGUUGCUGUACAGACGUCUGCGUCAUCUACGCCACUUCGGUGUUCCUGUUUGUGCACUAGAAAGACUCUGAUUCUGUUCUGUUCAGCUUGAGUCUCCGGAAAUUUCCAGUUAAGACAUCUCCUACAAGUAUCACAUCGAUUCCUUAGUGGAACAUUACGUACAAGUUCCCUGAUCUAUUAUCAUUCAGGUGACUGGAAAUACUUCCUCCACAGGCUCAAAGUUCUCAAAGCUUUCACAGUCUGAGGUGAAAUAACCUCUUACUGAAUUCUUUUCUCUCACUCUUGUUCCAGUUUUAAAGUAUUGCUGUUUGAUCAUCUCUGCAGGUAUUAUCAAAGGUGUAAAUGAAUGUCGAAGCAGAUGUUGCAUCAGGCUUUUUAAAUCUCUAACAUACCUGCGUCUACUUAAAGAUAAAUCCGGCAGCUGAACUGACUUUACGUGUUUGUUUGGCAGCUUUUUUUGUUUUGUUUUCAUCUUAAAAAAGAAAGUUAGCUUAUCUCAACACAAAGAUGAAGAUUGAAAUCAUUAGAUUAUCCUCUUUUUAAAGAAAUCCAGUCCAUCUUUUUACAAAUCCAUCAGUUUUUCCACUGAUUCACACAUUGCAAACUCAUUUAUUACAGGUGACCCACCGCUCUCUCCUGCAGAUAAGAGAGGAAGUGAUAAAUCUACUUUGUGUGAGAUUGUUAUCAUUACCAGCAAAAAGUUGUGACAUUGAAAAUCAGAUCAAAGAUAAUCAUAUACAGAGCAGACGAGAGAAGAUAAAACCGUUUUUAGUGUCUGACAUUUAAAGCGUGUGACUUUAACUUGAUGAUGCAGAGGAAAGUUUCGACUUGCAGACGUUUACUGUUGGUAUAAAACUGCGUCUGAGAUUGCACUUGAAACGUCAGUAAAACAAGCUGUGAAGUGACAGCUGUCAGAUGAUUUCUAGUACACAGAUGGUUCAGUGAGGCAGAGAAGUACUCAAGGUGUCUUCAAACAGACAUGACGUGCCACAAUAAAGGGUUUACGGAGCUCCGGAGGUGGAUACGGCAUUGUUUGAGGAGAGCUUUUGAGUGAUGGUGUUAACUUCCAGAAACAUUAAAACUGGUAAAUAUGAGCAUGUGUAGAUUUUGCUAUAUAUCCGUCGUAUAAAAAGACCUUUCUAUAAACCUCAAAUCUCACCCACGUAAGAUGUCAAAGUAAAGAUGCCGCAUACUUCUGAAGAUGCUGCUCCCGGUAUCACACUUAUCUACGUUUGGUGCAAUCUCGCUUAAUUUUUAUUUGAACAUGACCUUUCAGCUUAUAGAGAACAUCACAAUGAGAAAGAUUGACGUCACUCACUCGUAUAAAAAUAGAUAAAAUGUGAUAGAGAGCAGGAAAUUAUAAAAAUACCCCUAUAGAGAUGUGAAUAGCUCUCCCCUUCUCCUGGAAAUUCACAUCACUCCGCUCAUACAAGUGCUCCUCUUGGCUCCUCUGAGCACAAAUUUGGGUCUUACUCACAAUUUCAGACAUAAGAGAGAUAUGAGAAGGUUUGGAAAAGCUUUUUGGGGAUCAAGGAGGAAGAAGAUCACAAAAUACAGAAAAUCCUUCGGCGCCAACAACUUUCACGAUGACUAUAACGGGUACCUCUCUCAAUGUAAACACUAAAUAGACAUAUGUUCAUAUAGUUUUCUUGUCUUUGCAACCACUCCAAUCACUUUUGUCACAUUAACUGAUGGCAGAGAGGAUGGGACAUAGGAGGGGACAUUAACAUGCUGCUGACUGCGCCACCAGGAGUGAGUUUGAGAUCCUCUGAAGAUCGAUUAGACAUUAGACUGCAGCAGCCGGGAUCCUUCCAAUACAACAACAGAGCUUUUGCCUCUCCAGGUUACUAAUCAAUCCAACAUUCAUACUUUCUAGCCAGUUCUGUAACACAUGAUCUACCAGAGGUAGUAAACUUCAAAAUAAAAGCAUAGUUUGACAAUGCAAGAAUCAAAGCAACCUAAACGAAGUCUGAAAAAUACCAAAAUAAAAGCAUGACAAACAAUCUUUUAAUUGGGCAAUGUUGUCUCCAAGAAGUUUCAUUUAAGGAACAGAUGAUAAAUCAUGAGUCUGGAUAUGAUGGUGGCAUUUAAAGUAAUCGCAUCAAUCAGUUAAGAUUAUGAAGUUUCUUAUUACAGCCAUGAUAACAGUGAGGUGAAAAUCUGACAUCGUGAUAUCUCUAAUUCCAAUAUGUGAAUUGAAAAACCUAAAAAAUAAACUUGAUCUGCUUGUGGCGAGAAAAAAAACCUGCCAGCGCAACAAGUGAGAUUUUUUCCAUGUCAAGAAACUCCAGAAGCAUAAUCUGCUUCCUGCAGUGGCAGCUAUUUUUACUCAUAUUACACUGAGUUCUCCUUUUUGCUUUUAAUUUCUUGAGACCAGAUGCUAUGACAAGAACUCGCCUUAUAAUAUGGCUUGCAGAAGUUGCAUUUUGCUGCAGUCAUAAAGGAGAAACGAUCUGAGUCAUCUACGUUUGUUCAAGUGACGUACACAUAAUAGCUGCAAAGCAUUCUUCAGAUUCACAGCGUUUACUUCGCUUUAUUCCCUCUUUAACAGAUGCUUUGAUACACAAACAUAGAAAACACAGAUUCACAUUGAGUUGAAUGAAUUCCGCCUUAAGGUAAAUACUAAGCAGGUUGGAUUCAGGUGCAGAUUAUGUGGGGCUCAGUUUAAAUCUCAAUACAUCCCUGCAGACCCUCUGUUCCUUUAAAAAAAACACACGUUCCCAUAAAUUCUUAGGUCAAGGGAAACUCAUUUGAAAUGCAUCAGAUCUCAUAAUUCUUCCUCUUUAAUGAAUGAACUGUUGUGCCCAGAUAAAAAGCCGAGGAUAAGAUGGGUCGGUUUUACAGCGCAGUGUGCAUAACUUGACAUAGAUGAAUUUAACAGCUCCUCAUAAAUCAGGACAGUGUGCACCAGUUGUGCUGAACAUUACAACAGGGAGCUGUGCAUGGAUGCUCAGCACUCACAGAUUGGAAGCAUACACAAUUGUGCUGUUAAACAUCAAGGCCUUUGCAUUUAGUUAAAGGGGACGGACAUAUAAAUGUUUAAAGCAGGACUAUAAAUUAAGUACAGAGAGCCGUUUAAAGAGAGACAGCUCUGAGUGCCUGUGCAUGGGUGUUUGGGGAUUUGGGCUAUUAUUGGAAAUGUUGCUGUUUAGUUAGCUUUGAUAUGCUUUUAUCAGUUUUUCUUUGCAUUUUUAAGUCCUUCACUUGAAAAGCUGUGCUGAAAGAGAAAAGUUUGAGUAAAUCUCCAUCACUGCGUGGAAAAAUGUUCCCUUCAGGGCGGAUUUGCUUCUGUCGCCUCUGCAGCUUACAGUGUUGAUUUGCUGACCCUUGCUGCGUACACUGAUUACAUUUGCUAUGUUGUGUUGAUCCACAUUAAUUUCCCUUCAUUAGACAGAAGCUGGCACAAAUAGGAUCAAGUUAAUGGGAAAUACAGAGGUUGAGUCAUUUGAUUACCUGUGUACGACUUCUUGUAGUCUAUUUACCAACUGAAGAGGCUGAAAUAAACAACUAUCACCUUCACCUGCUGUCACCUCAUGUUAGUAUUUCUCUAUCUUUGCUUAUGACUUCACACAGAUUUGACUCCUCUUUCAAGAAAACACAUGGUUUCAUGUAUCACACUUUCAUUUUAAGUAAUACUCACCCUCUGUUUUGUUUGUUUUCUGAGCUCUCCAGACAAAAGGUUGACUUGUUGCUCAAAAUGGCCUCUUAAGCCCCGCCCACAGGAAGAGGAAGAGGAAGAGGGAGAAACCAUCAGAGGGAAUGAAAGGAAAGACUUCUCACUUUGAAGAAAAUCUUUAGUGGUUACUUUUGUUUCUUUAGUCAAAGACAAUUUACUUUUUUCUGUGAAUAAUUUAUUUGGAUAAGUUGGUUGUAAUGACUAUUUUUAAGGUUAUUGUCAUUUUAGGUUCCCCCUGUGUUUCUGUUGGACUAGCCCACAUGUCUUACUUGGGUUAGUUUAAGUUCUGUUUGGUUGUAGCUUUAGUUCUUUUCACUAACUCGAUCUCUCUUUGAUUAUUUCUUCUUUCUCUUACAUUACAUGAAGUUACUUUCGUCUGUCUCUGAUUUCUCAAACUCUGAUUAGACCCAGACCUUUGUCCUGUGCAUAAUUUCUUGGUCACAGUUAUACAUUUAUAUAUCUUAGUAACCUUUGCUGAUAUAAAAUAGCAAACAAAAUACAUCAUCCCUUGACUGCUUGCAUCUUUUGCAGGUGUUGUAUGGCGCUCACUCGUCUCCACCAAAGAGCGAUGUCAAGCGAAUGUGAACCCCCUAAUCUUCAGUGUUGGAUAAACAAAAGGAAAAAGAGGAAAAAAGGACACGAAGAGGACACAAACAGAAGCAGAACUUGUAAUAUGAUUUCCUCUCUGAAUUUGUCUUCACACUCUGGCUAACUUCUUUCCUGUCUUUAUUUUUCUGUCUCUCACAGUCUCCGUCCUCUCCUGUCUCUGUACUCUGAUCGUUUUCAUUGCUCUUCAGAAGAGUCCUCAAAUUAAAGCCCGCUGACGUCUUUGUAUCAUUCAUCAAAGCUGAUGUGUAUGCUUUAUAAAGCCUGAUGGGAAAUUGAAUGCAGAGAUGUGGAGAGUCAUUAUUUGUGUCACAUAAUGAGGUACUUUUUAUUUUCAACGAAUGUAUGUGAAAAUCAACAUCAUCUGCCCGGGUCUUUUAUUUCUGUAGAUAUUCAGAAUGUAUAUGAAGCCUCAUGGUUUAUGAAGGCUGGCUGCACUCGAAACCAGUGAUAAUUUCUGCAGCUUUUUUUGGAUUCAGACCUGGUUUUUUAACUAAAAUAAUUUUUAAUUUCUGUCACAUUUCACCAGUUUUGGUCCUAAAUAGUUUAAGUUGAAUUUUAGUCAACAAAAAGUCAAAACAUCUUCUGUCUGCAAGCUUGUUUUAGUGUUUAAAUCUACAGUGUGUCACUUUCUUAACACUAGGAUUGGUGUAAUAUCUGGAUGUCCUACCUUAUAUGAAUGAUUAAAAUUCUCCCACAAUGCAAUGCUGCUGCGCUGUCUCUGCUGAUCUACUAAGGUACUAUAAAGGAACGAUCUGUACUCUGAGUAAGUUUUACUUUCUGUUGUCAUGGAUAUCUUUGUAUUUUUUUAUUUCUUCUUUUUGUAGGGUUGGGGGGUGGGGGGUCCAGGGUAGAGACACUAGGGACACAUCCCUACCAAUAAUCAGCUGCUACAGUGAAGUCCCUAUCAAUACAACCACUGUCCAUAGUGUUUAAUCAAUGAUUAUGGCACACAAAGGGUUCACAGUCGGUCUCUGCUAAAAGUCCCGCUUCUAACCUAAAUAUCGCUCUUCAAUUGACUGCCGGUUUCUCGCUUACAUACAUGUGAUUAAAGUAAAAGUUACCUGAUAGCUGGACCGGAGGGGAGGCAGACAGUGCAUGUUAUCUGCAACCGCUAACUGUAAGAUGUCAACAUGACUGUGAUUGUUUGCUGUUAGAUCAGCUCUACAUGAUGCACAAUGAUGGUUGCAAAUGCAAAAAAACAAACUUUCAGGAGGACAAUUUUGUGUCCCCACCAAUGUCAAAAUCAAACCUCCUCCCUUGGCCCCUGAUAACCUUCAUUCCAAGAAACGUCUCUGGACAGACCCAGAAAGUUUCACUCUCAGCUUCAGACACUUAUCUUUAAUGAUUUGUAGUUUAUCCUUACCAAAACGUCUUGUUUAAUCGGCGCUCUGACUUAUCUCCGGAUUAGGAUAAAGCGAGGUUUGGACACAGAGCUGUUAACAGCGAGAGCAGGAACCUGGUAGCUGGGGGAUGAGGAGCUGGAGAGGAUUGAUUUUUUUUUUCCACUCUCAGUGCUGGUUAUGCCAAAGAUUUCCAUCUUGUCCUUUCUGGUCUAGACUGAGUCUCUUCCUGCUUUAGUCUUCUCCAUCUUGUCAGUGAUCUCAAACCGCUCUGGUCUCUGUUGAAGCUGUCUUGACUAAAACAUUUUCAAGAACUUUAGUUUACACCGUUCAAACACAAGCUGAACUGUGCUUUCCUCGUAUGGAAACAAUGCUUAGCUUGAACUCUGCUUGACAGUUAAAUUGAAUCAAUUAUCCUGCAAAUUUAUUUUCUAAGAAGUGCCCAAGCAAGAGGUUUUUUUUCUCCGUUAUGCUUUUAUUUUCACCGAUCUCUCUGUCUUUCACUCUACUUGAGUCUUUUAUUCUGCAUGUGUGAUUGCCAAACUGUGGAUGACCCACAUUAUGUUUUGUGCCUGAAAGCACUUGAUGUAGAGACAGAAUGCAGCAACAUGGACAAAGCACUAAAGCUGCUCCUAAUGCUGCUCGUGCUGCGUCCUCGAAGAAGACAGUCAGUUCAAAUGUUUGAGAUUUAGCAAGUAAAUGGAAGAAACGUAGGAAGAAAUGCCUGACGCCUCUUCAGGUUUAUAUCUCUGCUCAUCGCUGCUGCUGCUGAAAAAGUUUUAAAAAGGAGAUAUCAUGCACCACUAAAACAUGAAAAACAGUUAAGAUGUCACGCAAAGUAACCCUUCUAGUGUCACCUGUGUGUCUGUAUCUCUGUUUGGAGAUAACAAAAGCACAGAUCCUUUAUUAAAGGCUUGGGGGAAAUAUCGACGAAACAAUCUGACCUGCAGGUCCAUUUUUAAGUGCUCUGCAGAUUUAGAUCAUAUCACAUGAUCACAGCAGCCGUCUCUAUUUGUUUUUUUAUGUGUUAAGUGUUGCUGUUAAGUAGACAAGGAGGGCCUGACGAUAAAAUGAAGGCUGUCCUCCCAAGAAAAAACUGACAGCAUCAGUCAUCUGAGCAAGCGACAAAUAAAAACUUUAUGUUCAGGGACAAACAGCGCUGGUGGCUCUUUGAAUUAUGACUGUUGUCUAUGGGGAACAAAAGAGGAAAUUGUGUGAUGUUGUAAAUAGAGACAUGAAGUCUGCAGAGGAAAUGCCUAGAAGGAUGGAUGGAUGAGAAAAAUCUCAAUCAUUUAUACCCCCCAUCAGUUAAAGGUGCAGUCUGUAUUAAAGGGAUAUUCCGGCGUAAAAUUAAUUUAGGGUCAAACACACCAUAACACCGAGUUAGACACCCCCAUCGAGAGAUGAAUGUUUCAGACCGCUUGCUUCUCUAGUUAUACCAACUUUAAAAACGACUGCAGGAUAGCAAUACACAACAGUCUGAGGAGCCAUAAACAAACCUCAACCAAAACGCAGACCUGUUUGUAGCAGACCUCAGGCCAGUCCAUUAUGGAGUACUGCGGGGUGACACAGCUCAGGGAAGAACAUUUAUGAUCAUUACUUCAUGGAAAUGCAAUCAGACCGAGACGCUAAGACAGAAGAACUACCGCGUCUGCAGUGCAAAAUGAUUAACAUGGUGAUUAUUACUUCAAGGAAAUGAUAAAGAAAUUAUCAUAAAUGUUCUUCCUUGAGCUGCGUCACCCCACUGCAGUACGUUAUGGACUGGCCCAAAGUCUCGCUACAAACAAGUGGCUGCUGGAAGAGAGUAGGUGAGCUGUGUUUAGUCUCUUUGUUACAGAAAUCAGGCAAAGUUAAAAAGAUGUUUGGUGGCUAGUGCUGUGGCUAGGACCCUAUAUGUACUGUUGAUGAAGUUAGGUGCUGUUCUGAGCAUUAUUUGUGGCUAUAGAGUGGCAUUUUGGUUGAGGUUUGUUUAUGGCUCCUUAGACAGCUGUGUAUUGCUAUCCUGCGGUAGUUUCUAAAGUUGGUAUAACUAAAGAAGCAAGCCAUCAACAACAUUCACCUCUUGACAGGGUGUCAAACUCAGUGUUGCAGUGUGUUUAAACUAAUUUUACGCCCGACUAUCCCUUUAAAGCAAACCCGAUAGAAAUGCUGUAUUAUACUCAAAAAUAUGUUCUGUAAUUGCAUACUCAGUCAAAUAUAGAAAUAUUGUUAAAAUGUUUACUGCGAAUACUAACUUCUGGCAAAGUUACACAUUGUGAGGUAAACAUGAGUCAGCAUAAUCCCAGGAUGAGCCCUGCAGGCUGCAGAGCAGGGGUAGGAAAUCUCAGCCUUUUAUGCACAAAUCUUAACCCUUUUUCAGGAUGACACUCACAAUUACAAAAAGAAAGGAGGAUUGACCUCUCAGGUAAAGUCAAGAUACUUUAAAUUAUGCAAAGCUAUGGAGGAGAUAUCGUUUUCUAAGUACAAGAAAGUUUGCUGCAAGAGGUUUCGAGACGUCUACGAGCAGUGUGCUGUGAGCUGUAGGAGUGUGAUUUCAACAUACAACCCCAGGAAACAUACAUAAAGUAUAUGACCCAGAGGAGAAACAUUCUUAAGAACAUAAAAGCCUCUGAAAGGUCCCUUUAAUGCGUCGUAUUCAGAGAACCCGAGCAGCACAGAACCAUGGGAACAUACUAAAGUACCAAUGAGACCUACAUCUACUCAAGCACAGCAAUCAUUCUUCAGUUGUUCUUACUGACAAUGUUAAAAUGAUAUCUUACAGUGUAAUAAGUGAUCAACAGUGUUUCUAAUUAUGAUUUUAACCCUGUCAAUGAAACCCUCUGAAUGUCAUAACCUGACCUACAGAUUAUCAUGAAGAAAAAAAAAGGUACAGAGUGAGGACAACAGUUAUUAAAAAUGAACUCAUCUUAACACUUCUGCCGCCCUGAUGUUCAUGCCAAUAAGAUUCACCACAAACAGAUAACAUAUCAUCGGACAAAUAUGUCUGCUAAAUAUAACUAAAACAUUGUUAAUAUCUUUCCUAAAUAAAUACUUCAGGACAAAAGUCCAAUAUCUUGCAACAGAACUUUGAUCCAAAUUGGUUUCAGGCAUUCAAAUAAUUAUGAUAUAAACAUUGUUUAACUUCUCGCUGAUGGUCUUGUUUGUUUUAGUAUUUCAUCAAAAAGUAUUAAUAUGAUUUUCAGCUUAUUUCAUUAACAUAAAACAACUCUAAAAAUAUAUAUAUUUAUGUAACAUCAAAUAUAGGGUUUUCUUUUCAAACUGGACAAAGGGUUAACUAUUCAAACUAAACAUUAAAACUCCAGUAAAUAGGUUUUAUCUUACUAUAAAGCAAACUGAACUAUAAAAAACAGUUUAACUUUUUAUGAACGAAAAGGGCAAAUGAGCUUGUGACAACGUGACAGACCUCUUUAUAGUUAUUUUAAAACCUGUAAAAGAUGACAUGCAGUGAAUGUCAGACAGCGUGAUUAACAGCGUGGUGUCAAGACAGCCUUUUUUAGCAUUUCCAUGAAGGUACCGUUCACAUGUCCUAACUCUGUGAUGGAUGGUUUGAAGACAGUAGUGACGCAGGUUUUAUACAACCAUAAAUUUGAGUUACUGCAGGCGAAGUGAACUUAAUCCAGCUCUAAUGUUGUUUCCCCCUGAGAAGUGAUUAUGAAAUUAUUUGUUCUUAAAAAGAUAAAGACAGCAUGAGUGUAGCUUUUCACACAUUUGGUUUUGGUUAAAUGUUUGUGACUCAUUCUGAGAAGCAUUUUUCUACCACAAUGCUUUUUGAUGUUCAGAACAAACUUCAAACUCCAUUUAAAUCUCUUGUACAGUCUAAACCUGAGUUUUUCUGUGUUUUUCAAUGUUAGUUUGUUUGCAAAAACAUCUGAAUUUAGCUGCUGAACUAUGAACCUUUUUGGUCCGCAAUUAUCUUUAAACUGAUGGACCUCUUUAGAGUUUUUUUAACUCAUGAUUCAGGUCAGUCAGGAAGAAAAAUGGUGGAUUUUCAAAAAAAGAAAAAUUGUUUAUUGUGACAAAAUCAGCUCCAUGAUGACUUUUCAAGAAGGUGAUACUUCAACAACAAAAUUCCGAACACUCUGCUCUGGACAUGCUGUUUUGUAAUACCUGCAUGCUUAAAGGGGUAAUCCCAUUGGAAUAAACCUAUUUGGUAACUUUGCUGCAUGUUGGCCUUGUUUUUGAGAAUUCCAGCGUGGUUGUGUGACAUUUUGUUGAACAGGCCCCAUGUUGUAAAUGCAAAUAAAUUCCUGGCGUGGAAAAACAAAAGAGGAAAGUGUUCUUUUACCGCUAGCGUACAGAGGACAAAUAGGAGCAGGCAGCACUUUGACACUGAGACGGCACAGGGGAAAGUGGGAGUGUGGAGGUACAAAGGGCAGGUGGGGAGAUACAUUUACUUUUAACUACGGCAGCUCAGGUUAAAUGUCAGCAUGAGGCGAGCGUUCGCUGCUUAGAUCUGUCACCUCACAGCCGCCAGUGCGUUUCAUGUUCUGUGUGUGUCUGAGCGCGUUUCCUCCCACGGUCCAAAGACAUGCAGGUUAAGUGGAACGGAGGCUCACAGAUUGCCUUCAGGUGUGGAUGUGUUUGUCUGUCUGUGUGCGUUAGACCUGUGACAGACCGGUGACAUGUCCUGGCUCGGUCCUCACUCACAUUGUGACACAGGAGGUUAGAAAACAGAUAAAUAGAUUUGGGUUUUGUGGCAGAUCUGACAAAUAGCCUCAAGUGUUGUCACUGACCGUAAUGUUCGCAAUCAGUUUGAAUUAUGGGUAUUGUAGGCACCAGGAUUUGAUAAUAAAAGAAGAAUAUGCGCAACAAAAAAAUCUGAUAUCUCUCAAUAGGAUGAAUUUUGUUCCUAUAUUUCACAAUGUCCGCCCACAGCCUCAUUUUCACAUCUAGUAUUCCUGCACCAUCCUAUGCGCUUCCUGUUGCCAGGUUACAAAGGUUGUCCUGUGGCACUUCUGCUCCUCUCAGAGGAAGUUGGGACUAUAGUCAGUUUUAAAAUGUUUUGUUAUUUGCUUUCAUUCAACCGUUUUUUUAACACAAAAAUAUGAAAACAAAUGAUACAAACUGUGUCCUUGUGUUUGCAGCAGGUAAAGAACUGAAAAACGCAGAAGUGUCUUCCUCCUCCUGUCGUACAUGCAGUAGGGGAGAGUGGGGUAAGAUGAGCCAUUUUUCAUAUUUCGGAUCACUGCAUCAUGACAAUCAUAGUUUUGUCUCUAACUGGUGUAUCUGUAUAUAUUUCAAGAUGUUGUUCGUCCCUGCAAACCAACAGAAUGAGUGUAAACAGAACUGUCUUGAUAAUAUGGCAUGCCAAAAACAAGUGCUCUCCUAUGGUCAACUUACCCCGUGUAUGGGGUACUCAAUCAUAUCCCACUUUACAUCGGGUCCUUUAAACAGAGUGUGGACUGGACCUGCUUUUUUGUUGUGCACUAUCUGAGUAAAGAUUGAUGGACUGAUUAAAGACGACUACUUCUUUCUGUGUUUGUUACUGCUCAUAUUAGUCUGUAGGUUAGUCAUCCAUUUCUUUCAGGCGUCUGUGAAUUGUCUUCAGCUUCACCAAAGAUUCAUUUCCCCUCUAUUUGGUUUAACUCAAAUGUGUAUUUAAAGCCAAGAGGGAUUAGAUUUUAAACUCGCAAAUCCCAGCGGGGAUCCAGCCUAAAGUUAGAAAUCCAGUGCAAUAAACUAUUAAACUCUGUUGUUUGAGUUGGACCUUUAAAGAUUUAGACAUGCAGUAGAAUUUAAUCCAGUUAAGCCUGUCGAGAAAAUCCAAAACAAAGUGUCCAGCAGUUAUAAAAAGCAGCAAAAUGGUGUUGAAUGUAGAACAAUGAGUGCUUUCUGUACAGCCUGGUUGUGUCACAGUAUUUAACAUUCAACUUGAAGCUCUAUUGCUUUAUGUAUUAACUGCACUCUCUCUGAUUGCGGUAAAAGUCAAUUAAAGGGGAUUCUGUUCAGGAUUGUUUGGACACAAGUCAACUACUCGCCUGCUUCAAAAAGCCCCGAACAGCACACUAUAGCUCUUUAGUUUUACUGCAAAUCCUGUGCUGCAAUACUGACCAAGCAGAGCCAAUUCAGGGAGGCAGAGACUGGAGACAAUGAAGGGCACCUUCACCUCCCAAAGCAUUCAGUUACAAAGAGACUCUUACCUGCUGCUGCUUUAAAUGCAAACCUGAUAAUCAAAUGCAGCAUUUAGGGGGAUAUUGUUGAUGAGAAAUCAUGAGUGUGACUGUGAGAGGGGCAGCUGGUUUUCAUAAGGGCUCAUUGUUUUCAGUAUUCAGCGCUGAUUUGCAGCACAACAAGCAGAUUUAACCUCUUUUUCACAGAGAGCGUCAGUGCCCACAUACAGACGAGCUGCUGUGUUUCCAGCUGCAUGGAGACAAUGAUCACCGCAGCUUACAGCAAGUAAAGGUCCGUGCGGUUCACUGUUCACAAAACGUUCUCGUUGUUCGGUGAUUUUAAGAAGGGAAAUGAGGAAAAAUGAGCUGCUGGUUAUGCACAAAAAACUUUCCCGGUGUGAAGUACAAUAGAUGUUCAAAUUGCUGUGCUUCUGAUAAAAGCUAUUUUUAAAUCCUGUUUUUACCGAGAGUUUUAUUUUGAUCUUUUUUCCUAACAGGAACACUAUUCACUGUUACAAAAAAAGUUUAAAAACAUUUAUAUAAUUGAUCUCUCCCUCUGUGUUCACAAGCAGCUUGUAGUUUUACACUAAAACCUCAAAAUCCACGAGUUCAACCUGACAAAAUAAACUCUGCAGCAGUAAAUGUUUUUAUAUCAAUAUUCAGUUACUGCUUUAAACAAAUAUCUAUGUUUAAGUGCUGCUAACAGCCUGCAACAUUCAACUCUAACUUGAUUCCUAACGUCUUAAAUCCUGGUCAGACAGGAAAAAGAGGCUGUGCAGAGCCUUGGCCAGGAAUCCUUAAUGCUAGAGACAUCUAAAAGACAUCUGUUGAUGAGAUGUAAAACAAUUGUUCAAAAGAGAAAAGUGAGUGUCAACGCCAGCCCCGAUGUUGGUCUAAAAGGAUCGUUUUAAUUUAACAAAAAAAUCAUAAUAAGAUGUGCUUUGCUAAAUACAGACUGCUCCUUUAAGACCAGAUUUCACGUGGCUGUUGGUACAACAUUCACACACAUAUUAGUGGAGACUUUCAAUGAGCAUCAUUUAGAUAUUGCAGCUGAAAUUGAUGUUUUAAAGCACACCUUAAAAUGCACUAAAGUCGCCAAUAUGAUGCCGGAGUGGAAAUCUGGUUCACAGCCUCCUCGGCCCUGAAAGAGACAAGGUUGAGGAGAACAGGUCCUGAUCCAGAACAAUAAUCUGUCGACUUCACUGACAGAGAUAUCUCUGAGAGUCUUCACAGACUUUAUUAAAAAAAAAAAUAAUGAUAACUUCAGAAUUUCAAAUACUUAAUUUUAUUAAUGUGAAUGCAAAAAAUGACAAAAUGUAUUCAGACACAACGACGUCGAAAUCGUUUGUCAUUAAAGCUCCAGUGAGGAAUUUUUGGUUUGUCUAAAUUUCGGCGCCUCCUGUACUCAGAGCAGACUUUUACUUUCAUGUCUUUUACAUGUUUGAGCAUUAUUUCUCCCACAAAAUCUCAUUCAGCUGACUUUUUAAAGUUAAAUCAAUCAUUUAUUGUGAAUGUUUUAUGUAGAAAUUGUGAAAACAUGGUUGCUUCUGUCGCUGCUUGGCUGACACCUCCCCUCACACUGACUUAAGGCAACUAAAGACACAGUACAAGAAUGAUCAAUGGUUUUCUUUGCUUUUGUAAUUCAUAAAAAGGUAUCGAUAUGAAUUCCAGACUGUUUCAUAAACAUAAAAAUAUCCUAACAGGAGCUUUAACUCUGCAGUGAUAAACACAGUAUACAUUUUGCAUCAAAUUGAAUCAAAGAGAUCUCGCUUUUGCUUUUGAGAAGAAGCUCUUUCGCAGUUUGAUGUUGAUCAGACUUAAAAAGCAAAAAGGUUGUAAAUAGGUGAGUUUCUUAAGACAACCUUUAUUUGUCUGUAAAAAUAGUUCAACAUACAUCAUGUACUAGAAGAAGGCCAAAGGGGAAAAAAUAGUACGAGUUCAUGGUACUCAUCUUCAUUUUCUGCUCUUCGUCUCCAGUGUGACGACAGCUGAAAACAGGCGACGCUGUCAGGGACCUUGAAGACCGAACCUCAGCCCUGGCGGUAUGACGAGCCGUGAAGCAGGCCGUGUUGCUUGGUUUCAGCUCACAAUGCGGCGACGAGCGGCCCUGACGCAUUAACAAAUGAAGACGGAUUGCGUAUGAUGACACGAGUCGGGUUUAAUUCUCUCUUUGCUGAGAGCGGAGAAAGAGCUGAGGGAGGGAGCUGUAACUGGAGCGCUGGAAGUUAACUGAACAUGUAACAAAGCCCAGAGGUGUGGCUUUGAUCUUCAGUGAUGCUCGCUUUCCUGCACUCAGGUGGCCUUUUCCACAGCACCUCUGGAAAAAAAACUCCAUCUCACACACUAAAUGAGCAGCUCCUGAAGUCCCUCUUGAAUCUGGAGGAUGAAACACACAGACAAAGCAGCAUUAGUCUUCUCUGUUGUCUCGGUUUUACAUAAGAGAGGAGCCACGUGCUGCUGCUGACGGAGGCCUGCAUGCAUUGUAAAUCUCUUAUCUCUGCGCAGCACAGGUGGGGUCAGCUCGUUUCCUCUGCAAUCAAUUCAAGAUGUCAGCAGAAAUUCUGCUUUAUUUUCCUCCGAUGGAACAUUCGCUCUUAUUUAUUUGUCAGCGGGUUGGAUAUACGGCGAGCCGGGACUCCUGUCGCCUGCAAACAACACAACUGCUUCUUUCAGCACAACAUGCUUCUGUCAACAGGCCUGAAUUCUGAGCUAUACCGACCUUGGUGUAUGUUUUAUAAGACCUAUAGCCCACAAAAAUACGACCAUUGUUGUAUUUGUACAUCAUUCAAAUCAUUGCUUUCUAAGCUUACCUGACAUCCUGCAGGCGAACACUAACCCUUACUUUUUUGAAACACGGACAAACUUUGACUCAUCACCAACCUUCGGUAAACUGAUGUGUUUUUCUGUCAGCUCAUAUAGAUCCUCCUCUCACACACGUACAGAAACUCACCACCAUUUUUUGUUUGCUUGUUUAAUCCUGUUGUUUACUCAAGACUCCUCGGAGCCUCUUCCUUUGGCAGACUCUAUAUGGUGUGUUUUGAACUAGUGUGAGCGUAUGAGAGGAGGUAGAAAAACACAGUCUCUCUAGCUGAUGCUACCUCUGUGUGCACAUUAAACAGCCUCGGGUUAUCACCCAUGCUCCAUACUUACUACAGACUCAACAGCUGCUGGAUCACUGAAACUCCUACAUGAUAUAUUUGAAAAUAAAGUUUAUAAUGCUGGAUUCACUCCUGCUGCAGCCACCAGCUUCAUGAUUACAAAUAACAACCGGCUUUUCACUACUGUACAACUCAGAGGAGGGUUUUCUUUUGACUCUGAAACUGGUUUCUUUGUUGGGCUCGUUCACUCAGAUUCAGCUUCAAAAGAUGCGAAAAAACAAUCAAUCAAAAAUCUCUAACUCAGCACACAAAUGUGUUUCUGAGCUCUGAGACGUUUGUUCAUGUUGUCCAUUGUGUUGAACACAUUUCUUUUCUUCUGAGUGGAGCUGGUCUGGUCUUUGUGGGGUUGGAGAUCAUCAGGGUCUGUCGGGCUAACUCGAACACAAACAGAAAGUUGUUCACAGCUUGAUUCGAGGACAUCAGGGACAGACAGUACUGCCAUCAACAACAGAUGAAGUUGGAGUGUAGCAGAGCUGAGGGGUCUGUACCAUCUGGACUUCAUGGAUGUAAGGCCUGUUGUACUGAACAAGUUGCGGGGCGAUGUAAACAUAGUACUUCAGAAAAUAACUUGGCUCGAAAGCCAGUUUGUUCAAUCGGUGAAAGGGCGAGUCUCAGGGGGGAAACUGCACACAGCAGCUCAUGAGUGCGGCGACUUGGAGACUCUGCAGAGUGAGAUUAUUUCAAACCCUGCAUACUUGGACGCAGUAAGAUGAUUAAAUGGUAAAACAUACUUGGAGGCUUAUGUUUGAGUGAGAAGAAAUUACCAUCCACAGAUUGUAUAUAGAAUGGACACCGUCUGUCUCCCCCCUUGAUGAUGCCACCCUGAGAACAGCACCCUCUGGUGACGGGCUGCAGUAUAGGUCAUAAAUCCCGCCUCUUCCAGCAAGCCCUAUGGAGCUGUGGAAAAAAUUUUGAAAUUUAUUACACAGAAUAUAAAUUUUUCUCCUCCCUUGCUUGCGAUGUCGACAUGUAGCUACUGUAAGACUGGUUUGUGCUCAAGUCCUCUGUUUUCUGUGCAGCUCCAUUUUUAAAAGUUAUUAGGGGUUUAUGGAGAACAUCUCCGAAAUACCGAGAGCAAUUCGGCAUCAAAUUCAUAUAAUGACAGAAGGCGGAGCCAAGUGGUACACUGUUUAUACAGUCUAUGUUACCAUCCUUAGCACAUCCCACACUUAAAAAUGCAUCUGAAACAUUUAAAUUAUAGUACGUACAAACUAUAUUCUAAUCAUUUCAUUGUAUUUUAUCACUGAUCGACUUUUUUAUAAUCUCAUCUUCAUGUUGUUCUUGUCUGUUCUGUUUUCCAGUAUCUUGUAUGCUCGUGUGGCUUCUUUGGAACAAGACCAGUUGAUCAAAUAAACCACAACUGCACCACGACUGCUGUACUGGACCUCACUGACCCACACAUUCAGUAAUCUGUGUGAAAAGGGAAAAAAAAGUGCUAGUUUCUGUUGAGACACUGACUCUAGUUUGGCAGCAGACUUUCCACCCAGAUGGACACCUUCCCAUCACCAGACUGCACAAUACUGCAGUGAUGUCAUCCUCUAUCUGUG